AUUGAACGCUGGCGGCAGGCCUAACCCAUGCAAGUCGAACGAGUUGCGGACGGGUGAGUAAUGUCUGGGAAACUGCCUGAUGGCGGGGGAUAACUACUGGAAACGGUCGCUAAUACCGCAUACCAUCAGAUGUGCCCAGAUGGGCUUGGCUAGUUUGUGGGGUAACGGCUCACCAAGGCGACGAUCCCUAGCUGGUCUGAGAGGAUGACCAGCAACACUGGAACUGAGACACGGUGCAGACUCCUACGGGAGGCGGCAGUGGGGAAUAUUGCACAAUGGGCGCAAGCCUGAUGCAGCCAUGCCGCGUGUAUGAAGAAGGCCUUCGGUUUGUAAAGUACUUGCAGCGGGGAGGCGGUGCCCGCAGAAGAAGCGCCGGCUAACUCCGUGCCAGCAGCCGCGGUAAUUC
rnacentral:rRNA from 1 species